UUGCAAGAGUGCACUUCUUGCAUACUAGGUAUAUGCACGUGCGUUGCAACGGACGGCACUUGUACACGCAUAGAUCAUUAUUUAGUGUUACUAUCAAGAAUCAACUUAACAAUCAUAACAAAUAUCAAAGUCUGCCAUUUCGAACAAUCAAAAUGAAUGCCUCACGAUUGAAGGCCCUUUCUUUACCUCCUCUGUUUUUACUCCACGCCUCACGCCUGUUUAUCUAGAAACAUAAAUAUCACUUGCUCUGUUCUUAGUACUCACUUCCAUUCCCUGUGCCCAAAGGGUUUAAAAGUUUAUCUAGAAAGAAAAAAUAUUGGACACCCUCCUAAUGCAGAAGUUAAUCACAGGUGCUACAGACAUCAUCAUACCAGCCAAAUCAGAAAGAAAGUUAAAAAAAGAACUUGCUUUCUGCUCUUUCUGAAUUCGACGGUGCCAUUGGUUUGUGUUCAGAAAAUGGGAACUGUAUGUAUGUUCUGGCCUCUGCAUCCUCAGCGCACUUGGCAUCUCUUUCGUUACCACUGCACGUCAUCGUAAGGUCGAUGGUUUCAGCCUUUGAAGUAAUAAGGGGUGUUUGAAUGCGCUAGAUAUAUUACUUAACUGUUUAAAUUAGCUAAAGACAUCAGCUAAUAGUUCAACUAUUAGUUAUUUUCAGCAAAUUAGCUAGUAGUUAACUAACUAUUUAUUAGCUACCUAAUUCUCCUAGCGAUUUUUUAUUAAUACGAUGCAAGCUACCAAAAGAUAUUACAUGGUAGAAAUAUUAAGAAUAAUGCACAUGUAAUCGACUGAAAAGUGGACCUACACAAUAAUCAUUAGAAUGACAUCUCAGUAAGCAAUGAAUCCAAGUGUUUGCACGAUACUAAAAAGAGCACAACAAAAGUGAAGUUGUAUCGUACCAGGUAGCUUGC
rnacentral:lncRNA from 1 species